CCCUCCCCCCCCCUCUUUAUCCGGCGGACACCGAGCCCACGACGAGUCCCGCUGGGCGCCUAGAGCGUCGCCGGAAGUGCCGAGCGGCGGGGACUAAGGUCGGGCGGGAGCACUUCCUGCUCGGGACGCGACUCGGGGUGUGUGUUAUGUGCACAACGUCGGGGCUUGAGAAGACCUAGUGAAUCGGCGUGUGUUGCUCAGGGUAAACGGAGGACUGCGUAUCCUAGCCUGAGUUCCUUGACAUUCAUCCUUUUCUACCUCUAGGCCCAGAGUGGCCUCAAGCUCCCAGAAAGCAAGGACAAGUCUUCUUUUCCUCGAGUCCUAUCUGCAUGAC
rnacentral:lncRNA from 1 species